rnacentral:rRNA from 1 species
GACGAACGCUGGCGGCGUGCUUAACACAUGCAAGUCGAACGGAAAGGCCCUGCUUUUGUGGGGUGCUCGAGUGGCGAACGGGUGAGUAACACGUGAGUAACCUGCCCUUGACUUUGGGAUAACUUCAGGAAACUGGGGCUAAUACCGGAUAGGAGCUCCUGCUGCAUGGUGGGGUUGGAAAGUUUCGGCGGUUGGGGAUGGACUCGCGGCUUAUCAGCUUGUUGGUGGGGUAGUGGCUUACCAAGCCUUUGAAGGGUAGCCGGCCUGAGAGGGUGACCGGCCACAUUGGGACUGAGAUACGGCCCAGACUCAUACGGGAGGCAGCAGUGGGGAAUAUUGCACAAUGGGCGGAAGCCUGAUGCAGCAACGCCGCGUGCGGGAUGACGGCCUUCGGGUUGUAAACCGCUUUCGCCUGUGACGAAGCGUGAGUGACGGUAAUGGGUAAAGAAGCACCGGCUAACUACGUG